UACGAAGGGGGCUAGCGUUGCUCGGAAUCACUGGGCGUAAAGGGCGCGUAGGCGGCCUGAUAAGUAGGGGGUGAAAUCCUGCGGCUUAACCGGGGAACUGCGUCUGAUACUGGAUGGCUUGAGUUCGGGAGAGGGAUGCGGAAUUCCAGGUGUAGCGGUGAAAUGCGUAGAUAUCUGGAGGAACACCGGUGGCGAAGGCGGCAUCCUGGACCGACACUGACACUGAGGAGCGAAAGCCAGGGGAGCAAAACGGG
rnacentral:rRNA from 1 species